UUUGGUAAGUUAUUGUAUUAUGAAAUUCAGCUAUGGGUAACUGGGAUUUGAAUUUUGUGGUUUCAGUAUUAGAUUCGAACAUUGGAGAUGUGGAUUUGGGAUUGAAGGAAAAAAUGUCAAAAUUGGGGCUAGGAAGGUAACUACGAAGGUUUUGAUGGUAUUCGAUAGAAAUUUUAGCUACUCCUUCUGCUUAGCACUGGAUUCCUUGCUGCUAGUUUGGUAUUUUCUGCCUUUUGGUUUACAUUUGCAGUCUAUUUUUGGAACAUUGAAGUUAAUUUGGGUUUUUAGUUGUGAUUCUGUCAAGAAAUUCAAUGGGUAUUAGGCUCAAGAGAAUGGUGGUCUCUGAUGAGAGCCUUGAGUUGCUUUCCAGGUAUGGCCAAGAAAUUAUGGCAGUGAAGGGGAGGGUCUUGCAAGUUCCACCAGUGUUCAGGCAUCGUUUGUAAGAGGUGUUCUUGAGAAAACUGGAGUUGAGCCACAAGUGGAGAGGAUUAGUAAAUACGAAAGUGCUGGUGAGCAACUUGAGCUACGACCAUGUCUGAAGAAAAUUUUGAGAUGCUGACAGCAUUGCUCGAUAACAUAUAUGGGAACUGGCUGGACAUAAUUUCUUCUACAAGAGGAAUUAGUUCUUUAGACGUUGUUGAUUCAUGAGUAUCUGUUGACUGCAAUUCCUCCACAUAGCAGGUGUUGAUUUUUCUUCCAGCAGCUGAUAUGUGGAGUCAACUACUGUCAGUCCAUGGUAAAUUAUAUUUGAUGCAGAUACAUUAUGAAAUGGUUUCCUUGUU